GGCGAAGGUGGCGAGCGUUGUUCGGAAUCACUGGGCAUAAAGCGCACGUAGGCGGCGAUAUAAGUCGGGUGUGAAAUCCCUCGGCCCAACCGAGGAACUGCGCCCGAAACUGUCUUGCUUGAGGAUCAAAGGGGUGCUCGGAAUUUCCGGUGGAGCGGUGAAAUGCGUUGAUAUCGGAAGGAACGUCGGCGGCGAAAGCGGGGCACUGGUUGAUUACUGACGCUGAGGUGCGAAAGCCAGGGGAGCAAACGGG
rnacentral:rRNA from 1 species